AUGAAAUUAAAAUUAUUAAAUAUAAUUUUAUCAAUAAUAAAUAAACUUAAUAAUAAUAAUAAUAUUAUUAUUAAUAAUCUAUUAGAUUCAUUAAUAAAUAAGAAAUUAUUAUUAAAGAAUAUAUUAUUAGAUAUAAAUAAUAAAAAAAUAAAUAAUAUAAAAAGAAUAUUAAAUAAUAAUAAUAUAAAUAUUAAUAAUAAAUUACAACAUUUAAAUAAUAUAAAUAAUUGAAAUCUACAAAUUUAUAAUUAUAAUAAAAAUAUAGAAAUUAUAAAUACUAUAAAUGAUAAAUUAAUUAAUAAAUUAUUAUAUAAAAUAAUAACUUUAAAAUUAAAUAAUAUAAAUAUUAAUAAAAUUAUUAUAAGUAAACUUAUUAAUCAACAUAGUUUAAAUAAAUUAAAUAUUAAAUUUUAUUAUUAUAAUAAUGAUAUUAAUAAUAAUAAUAAUAAUAAUAAUAAUAAUAAUUAUUAUAUAAAUAUAAUAAAUAAAUUAAUAAAUAUUAUAAAUAAUAAUAUAAAUAAUAAUUUAUGUAAUAUUUUAAGUUAUUAUUAUAAUAAAAAAGUAACUAUUGAACCUAUUAAAUUAUCAUAUAUUUAUUUAAAUAGUGAUAUUUUUAGUAAAUAUAUUAGUUUAAAUGAUAUAGAUAAAUAUAAUAAUGGUAUCUUAACUAAUUAUCAACGUAUAUUAAAUAAUAUUAUGCCUAAAUUAAAUGAUCAUAAUAUUUCUAUAAAUUAUAUUAAUAAUAUUAAUAAUAUUAAUAAUAAUAAAUAUAAUAAUAUAAUUAAUUUAUUAAAUAAUAAUAAUAAUAAUAAUAAUAAUAUUAAUAAUAAUAAUAAUUAUAAUAAUUAUAAUAAUAAUUAUAUUGGUAAUAUUAAUAAUAUUUAUAAUAAUAUAACUAUUGAUAAUAUUCCUAUAGAUAUUUUAAUAUAUAAAUAUUUAGUUGGUUGAUCUAUUAAAUUUAAAGGUAGAUUAAGUAAUAAUAAUGGUAGAACUAGUACACUUAAUUUAUUAAAUGGUACUUUUAAUAAUAAAAAAUAUUUAUGAAGUAAUAUUAAUAAUAAUUAUAAAUUAAAUUAUAUCCCUUCUAAUCAUAAUUUAUAUAAUAAUUCUAAUAUUAAUAAAAAUGGUAAAUAUAAUAUUAAAGUUAAAUUAAACUUUAUUUAA
rnacentral:rRNA from 1 species